rnacentral:rRNA from 1 species
UGAGUACGAGAUGCUACGGCAUCGAAGCAGUCUAUGUCAUACUUCCAAGAAAAGCUUGCACUGUCAGAAACAGAUAAUGCCUGUACCAUAACCGACACAGGUGGGUAGGUAGAGUAUACUAAGGGGCGCGAGAUAACUCUCUCUAAGGAACUCGGCAAAAUGACUCCGUAACUUCGGGAGAAGGAGUGCCUUAUUUUUAAGGUUGCAAUAACAAGAUCCAAGCAACUGUUUACCAAAAACACAGGUCUCCGCUAAGUCGUAAGACGAUGUAUGGGGGCUGACGCCUGCCCAGUGCCAGAAGGUUAAAGAAGUCGGUUAGCAUUCGCGAAGCUGGUAACUGAAGCCCUGGUGAACGGCGGCCGUAACGAUAACGGUCCUAAGGUAGCGAAAUUCCUUGUCGGGUAAGUUCCGACCCGCACGAAAGGCGUAAUGAUUUGGAUACUGUCUCGGAGAGGGGCUCGGUGAAAUAGACUUGUCUGUGAAGAUGCGGACUACCUGCACCUGGACAGAAAGACCCUAUGAAGCUUUACUGUAACUUGAAAUUGAAAUUGGACUUUAUUUGCGCAGUAUAGGUGGGAGGCGUUGAAAAUAUUCUUGCGGGAAUAUUGGAGCCAUCAGUGAGAUACCACUCUUGUAAUGUUAGAUUUCUAACUUUAUAUCAUUAUCUGGUUAAAGAACAGUUUCAGGCGGGCAGUUUGACUGGGGCGGUCGCCUCCCAAAUGGUAACGGAGGCGCACAAAGGUUUCCUCUGAACGGGUAGAAAUCGUAUCUAGAGUGUAAAGGCAUAAGGAAGCUUGACUGUGAGACCUACAAGUCGAGCAGGGACGAAAGUCGGUCUUAGUGUUCUGACGGUGCUGAGUGGAAAGGCCGUCACUCAACGGAUAAAAGUUACUCUAGGAUAACAGGCUGAUCUCCCCCAAGAGUUCACAUCGACGGGGAGGUUUGGCACCUCGAUGUCGGCUCAUCGCAUCCUGGGGCGGUAGUACGUCCCAAGGGUUGGGCUGUUCGCCCAUGAAAGCGGUACGCGAGCUGGGUUCAGAACGUCGUGGGACAGUUCGGUCCAUAUCCGGUGUAGGCGUUAGAAUAUUGAGAGGAGCCUUCUUUAGUACGAGAGGACCGAGAAGGACAUACCUCUGGUGUACCAGUUAUCGUGCCAACGGUAAACGCUGGGUAGCUAUGUAUGGAGUGGAUAACCGCUGAAAGCAUCUAAGUGGGAAGCCCACCUCAAGAUAAGUAUUCUC